ACUUCCUGAUGGCUCUCGGUUGGUCAUGGGAUUAGAUCCUCCCUUCGGAGUCCGAGCAUCUCUAGCAAACAAAUUUAUCAAUCAUGCCCUGAAGUUCCAACCCAGGCUCAUUAUCCUUAUUGUGCCUAAAGAUACUAAAAGAGUAAAAGGCUUGACAAGAAAAGGUAUCCGUAUGAUUUAAUCUGGAAGGAAGAGAACAUGCUCUCCGUCAAGGUAUUAUUAGUACUAGUCAGAUUAAUGACUAAACAGUAGAACAAUUUGACCCAUUUACCAGUAGUACAUGGGCUGAUUUAGGUAAUGUUCAUAACUAUAGGUUCAAGUGGCCUUAGAGCUUCUGAAUUAUAUGUAUAACUCACUCCUAAAUCCUAUUAUUAUGAAAAGCUAGAUGGUAAUAAUAAAGUUUUUAUAAUUAUACUUGGUACAUGAGUUAU